rnacentral:rRNA from 1 species
UACGAAGGGGGCUAGCGUUGUUCGGAAUUACUGGGCGUAAAGGGCGCGUAGGCGGUACUUCAAGUCAGGCGUGAAAGCCCCGGGCUCAACCUGGGAACCGCGCUUGAGACUGGAGAACUAGAGUUCGGGAGAGGAUGGUGGAAUUCCCAGUGUAGAGGUGAAAUGCGUAGAUAUCUGGAGGAACACCGGUGGCGAAGGCGGCAUCCUGGACCAACACUGACGCUGAGACGCGAAAAGCGUGGGGGAGCGAACAG